AGCGAACGCUGGCGGCAGGCCUAACACAUGCAAGUCGAGCGGGCACCGCAAGGUGUCAGCGGCAGACGGGAGAGUAACACGUGGGAACGUGCCCUUUGGUUCGGAACAACUCCGGGAAACUGGAGCUAAUACCGGAUAAGCCCUUACGGGGAAAGAUUUAUCGCCAAAGGAGCGGCCCGCGUCGGAUUAGCUAGUUGGUGAGGUAAUGGCUCACCAAGGCGACGAUCCGUAGCUGGUCUAAGAGGAUGAUCAGCCUCACUGGGACUGAGACACGGCCCAGACUCCUACGGGAGGCAGCAGUGGGGAAUAUUGGACAAUGGGCGCAAGCCUGAUCCAGCCAUGCCGCGUGGAUGAUGAAGGCCUUAGGGUUGUAAAGUCCUUUUAACGGGGAAGAUAAUGACGGUACCCGUAGAAUAAGCCCCGGCUAACUUCGUGCCAGCCGCCGCAGUAAC
rnacentral:rRNA from 1 species